UACGAGGGGGGCGAGCGUUGUUCGGAAUUAUUGGGCGUAAAGGGCGCGUAGGCGGUGCGGUAAGUCACCUGUGAAACCCCCGGGCUUAACCCCGGGCGUGCAGUGGAUACGGGCCGGCUGGGGGCAGGCAGGGGAGAACGGAAUUCCCGGUGUAGCGGUGAAAUGCGCAGAUAUCGGAAGGAACACCUGUGGCGAAAGCGGCUCUCUGGGACGGUACUGACGCUGAGACGCGAAGGCGUGGGGAGCGAACAGG
rnacentral:rRNA from 1 species